GCCGGGGUAGCUCAGCCUGGUUAGAGCACCAGCCAAGAUCGCAAAUCGCGCAAGUUCGAGAGGGUGAAACUCAUAAUCAAUAGAAUAAGAGAUCUGGGGGUCGCGGGAUCAAAUCCCGUCCCCGGCACCA
rnacentral:tRNA from 1 species